GACUUCGUAGCUCAGUGGUAGAGCAUGCGACUGCAGUCAAGCAUAUCGCGGGGUCACGUGUUCAAACCACGUCGAGGUCU